rnacentral:lncRNA from 1 species
AGGGGCGGCUUUGCACUUGCACGAUACAGCUUUGGCUUCUGUUGCUUGGGUCGUAGAGGAACUAACCUACUGGAAAAAUCUUUACAUGUGUUACACCAACGAGGGUCAGUUGCUGACGAAGUUCAUGGCAACACCAGACGAGUCUUGCAACUGGCAGUUAGUGAGCGACGUUCGAGCCACUUACCCGAGCGACGAUGAAUUCGACCAGGAACUUAUUGAGAAGUUUUCGCUCAUGACGGCCAAUCCCGAAG